CCAACCCGUGCAGGGGUUUUUCCCACUCAGGAGUAGGCACUCAGGGAUGGGGCUUUCCAGAAGCUCUUCCCGCCCCUCCACAUACAUGUUAACAAUUCCAUUUCGCAUCUAUCUAUCCAUCUAAUACAUUAUAAAAUCAAAUUCAAAGUCAAAACAGUAUUUCCAACCCUCCACCGCCCUGUCCCAACCAGGCUUGCAGCACUAAAACUCUAGACAGAAAUUUUUGAGCUACCCCUGCAUUCCCUGGACACUACUACGGACGGCUCUGACCAGAACAGACAUCUUUGAGGGACAUGGGGACGUGUCUACGAUGCUGGGGGAUUGUACAGUUUCAGAGAACUAUUUCCUGGUGAAGUGGAAAAUUGUGUGGACGGAUUCUGGAAGACCUUCAGUCUAAA
rnacentral:lncRNA from 1 species